GCACCCAUCUACUUCACACAAAAAACAUCACUUAAGAUGAAACUGUGACAUAAACAUGCCAUUGGCACUAGGCAAUCCUAAACAAGAUGGUGUGUCAUCAUCGUAUUAGGAAGACAAAGAAUAGUGAGUGAGUGAGUGAGUGAGUAUGGUUUUACGCUGCUUUAAGCAAUAUUCCAGUAAUAUCACGGCGGGGAACGCCAGAAAUGGGCUUCACAUAUUGUACCCAUGUACAUCAUGGUAUACUGCACGUGAUUUCCAAACCUUUCACACUAAUCCUGCACAAGACAAAUAGUGCAUCUAAAGUCAUGGAUCAAUGAUGACACGUGAUGUGUUCAGAGGGUCAGUUCACUGACAUACCAGUAUGUUUGUUUGUGCACCGGAACAGUCUAAUAUCUCUUGAAUAUGAGUAAUACUUCAUAUAUCAACAAACAUGUAUGGUAUUCAUGUUUCUUUCGUCGGUGAGUAUUGUAUGUCAUAUGGUCAUAUCAACAAUCCCGUAUUCUGAUUACACUGUUCAACAAAUGCCUACUGAUUACAUAUCACAUCACCAGGAUACCUUACUGGCUUUGUGUUACCUAAUUACAAGGUAGAAUACAGCAUCACAAACUUUCAAACACGUCACAACACCCAAUGAUUUAUGAUAUUUUGUUGCCAGAUAAACCAGUGAAAACAUGCAUGUGAAGUUAGAGGUCAUAAAGUGUAAGCAAGCUCCCCACAGUGAUCUAUCAUCACAUCAUGCAAUGUCAUUGAAUAAGCCCAUGAGAUGUUGAGAGUUUUCAAUAAUAGUCUGUGGUGGCAUAUUUUAUAGCAGGCGCUAGUUUAUGAAAUAAUUUUCAUUU